UAAGCACUCCUGUGUACGUCAGUAAGUCUGCCCAGUGACUGACUGGCCUCCCUUUCAGAACUGGCUUGUGUUGCCUUUUUAUUUUUUAGAGCUUUUAUGGCAUCCACCUACUCACAGCCCUCUACUGGAACAGUGAAUUCAUGACGUUUUGGGGGAAAACACUAAAAGGCUUGGGCCACUAAUUACCUGGUUUUCAGCUUGAGAGAUGGAAGGUUCACAGGACUCCCAAGAAGGAAAUGUCAGCGCCCUGCUACCAACUGGAAAAAGAUACAUUUUUUAUUCACUGGAACAAACUCUUAACUGUAUGGUGCUGAACCAGGAGUAACUCCAGAGUUGGGAAGAGAAGACACUUGAUUGAGAAGUUUAGUUUCAGAGCCACACUUAUGCAUAGAGGACAUGGUAUGGAUAAUAUCCGCAACGCCCAGGCCAUUUCUCUGUGUAAGAAAGUCACUUGCUUUGUUUUGUUAGUUAUUAUAUGUUUUGUUAUUUGCACAAAUAUCGAGAUAUAUAUCGUAUAUCGUCAUUCAGUUAAAAAAUACCGAGAUAUGACGUUUGGUCCACAUCACAGAAGACCUAACCUGGUCCAAACACACCAGCACCUUGGUAAAGAAGGUACAACAACAUCUUUACAUCCACAGACGUCUCGGGGACCUCAGGCUGCUCUCCCAGGUACUGAAGAACUUCUACACAUCCACUUUUUGAAACUAUUCUCUCAGGAAAUAGUAGUGACUGGUUUUGGAACAGAAUGCAACAGGACAGGUGACUGGUGCGGUCAGCUGGACGCAUUACUGGGUGUGCACUCCUUAACUUCAAGGACAUCUAGACCAAACAGUGUUGGACCAGGACAGAGCAAAUUGUCAAUGAUUCCAGCCAUCCCAACAGCAGCCUCUUUUCUGUACCGUGGCCAGACAAAUGAUAUUGCUGCCUGAAGUCCAGCUCGGAGAGACUGAAAAGGAGCUUUUGUCCAAAAUCCAUAUGCAUUUUGAAUAAGGAAAAUGUCUAGAAC